rnacentral:rRNA from 1 species
GACGAUGGAUCACCAGUGAGUGGCGGACGGGUGAGUAACACGUAGGUAACCUGCCCCGGAGCGGGGGAUAACAUUUGGAAACAGAUGCUAAUACCGCAUAACAACAAAAGCCACAUGGCUUUUGUUUGAAAGAUGGCUUUGGCUAUCACUCUGGGAUGGACCUGCGGUGCAUUAGCUAGUUGGUAAGGUAACGGCUUACCAAGGCGAUGAUGCAUAGCCGAGUUGAGAGACUGAUCGGCCACAAUGGAACUGAGACACGGUCCAUACUCCUACGGGAGGCAGCAGUAGGGAAUCUUCCACAAUGGGCGCAAGCCUGAUGGAGCAACACCGCGUGAGUGAAGAAGGGUUUCGGCUCGUAAAGCUCUGUUGUUGGAGAAGAACGUGCGUGAGAGUAACUGUUCGCGCAGUGACGGUAUCCAACCAGAAAGUCACGGCUAACUACGUGCCAGCAGCCGCGGUAAUACGUAGGUGGCAAGCGUUAUCCGGAUUUAUUUGGGCGUAAAGCGAGCGCAGGCGGUUGCUUAGGUCUGAUGUGAAAGCCUUCGGCUUAACCGAAGAAGUGCAUCGGAAACCGGGGCAACUUGAGUGCAGAAAGAGGACAGUGG